CAGCCGCCACGGGAAUACAGAGGGUGCGAGCGUUAAUCGGAUUUACUGGGCGUAAAGCGUGCGUAGGCGGCUUUUUAAGUCGGAUGUGAAAUCCCUGAGCUUAACUUAGGAAUUGCAUUCGAUACUGGGAAGCUAGAGUAUGGGAGAGGAUGGUAGAAUUCCAGGUGUAGCGGUGAAAUGCGUAGAGAUCUGGAGGAAUACCGAUGGCGAAGGCAGCCAUCUGGCCUAAUACUGACGCUGAGGUACGAAAGCAUGGGGAGCAAACAGGAUUAGAUCCCGCGUAGUCCCUGUCUCUUAUACA
rnacentral:rRNA from 1 species